rnacentral:snRNA from 1 species
ACCCGUAAGGCGCAAGGAA